rnacentral:rRNA from 1 species
GACGAACGCUGGCGGCGUGCCUAAUACAUGCAAGUAGAACGCACAGUUUAUACCGUAGCUUGCUACACCAUAAACUGUGAGUUGCGAACGGGUGAGUAACGCGUAGGUAACCUGCCUGGUAGCGGGGGAUAACUAUUGGAAACGAUAGCUAAUACCGCAUAAUAUUGAUUAUUGCAUGAUAAUUGAUUGAAAGAUGCUAUUGCAUCACUACCAGAUGGACCUGCGUUGUAUUAGCUAGUAGGUGAGGUAACGGCUCACCUAGGCGACGAUACAUAGCCGACCUGAGAGGGUGAUCAGCCACACUGGGACUGAGACACGGCCCAGACUCCUACGGGAGGCAGCAGUAGGGAAUCUUCGGCAAUGGACGAAAGUCUGACCGAGCAACGCCGCGUGGGUGAAGAAGGUUUUCGGAUCGUAAAGCUCUGUUGUAAGAGAAGAACGGGUGUGAGAGUGGAAAGUUCACACUGUGACGGUAUCUUACCAGAAAGGGACGGCUAACUACGUG